rnacentral:rRNA from 1 species
GACCAGACUCCUACGGGAGGCAGCAGUGGGGAAUAUUGCACAAUGGGGGAAACCCUGAUGCAGCGACGCCGCGUGAGUGAAGGAGUAUUUCGGUAUGUAAAGCUCUAUCAGCAGGGAAGAAAAUGACGGUACCUGACUAAGAAGCCCCGGCUAACUACGUGCCAGCAGCCGCGGUAAUACGUAGGGGGCAAGCGUUAUCCGGAUUUACUGGGUGUAAAGGGAGCGUAGACGGCAUGGCAAGUCAGAUGUGAAAGCCCGGGGCUCAACCCCGGGACUGCAUUUGAAACUGUCAGGCUGGAGUGCAGGAGAGGUAAGUGGAAUUCCUAGUGUAGCGGUGAAAUGCGUAGAUAUUAGGAGGAACACCAGUGGCGAAGGCGGCUUACUGGACUGUAACUGACGUUGAGGCUCGAAAGCGUGGGGAGCAAACAGGAUUAGAUACCCCUGUAC